UUAAGCGACUAAGCGUACACGGUGGAUGCCCUGGCAGUCAGAGGCGAUGAAGGACGUGCUAAUCUGCGAUAAGCGUCGGUAAGGUGAUAUGAACCGUUAUAACCGGCGAUUUCCGAAUGGGGAAACCCAGUGUGUUUCGACACACUAUCAUUAACUGAAUCCAUAGGUUAAUGAGGCGAACCGGGGGAACUGAAACAUCUAAGUACCCCGAGGAAAAGAAAUCAACCGAGAUUCCCCCAGUAGCGGCGAGCGAACGGGGAGCAGCCCAGAGCCUGAAUCAGUGUGUGUGUUAGUGGAAGCGUCUGGAAAGGCGCGCGAUACAGGGUGACAGCCCCGUACACAAAAAUGCACAUGCUGUGAGCUCGAUGAGUAGGGCGGGACACGUGGUAUCCUGUCUGAAUAUGGGGGGACCAUCCUCCAAGGCUAAAUACUCCUGACUGACCGAUAGUGAACCAGUACCGUGAGGGAAAGGCGAAAAGAACCCCGGCGAGGGGAGUGAAAAAGAACCUGAAACCGUGUACGUACAAGCAGUGGGAGCCUCUUUUAUGGGGUGACUGCGUACCUUUUGUAUAAUGGGUCAGCGACUUAUAUUCUGUAGCAAGGUUAACCGAAUAGGGGAGCCGAAGGGAAACCGAGUCUUAACUGGGCGUUAAGUUGCAGGGUAUAGACCCGAAACCCGGUGAUCUAGCCAUGGGCAGGUUGAAGGUUGGGUAACACUAACUGGUAGGACCGAACCGACUAAUGUUGAAAAAUUAGCGGAUGACUUGUGGCUGGGGGUGAAAGGCCAAUCAAACCGGGAGAUAGCUGGUUCUCCCCGAAAGCUAUUUAGGUAGCGCCUCGUGAAUUCAUCUCCGGGGGUAGAGCACUGUUUCGGCAAGGGGUCAUCCCGACUUACCAACCCGAUGCAAACUGCGAAUACCGGAGAAUGUUAUCACGGGAGACACACGGCGGGUGCUAACGUCCGUCGUGAAGAGGGAACCAACCCAGACCGCCAGCUAAGGUCCCAAAGUCAUGGUUAAGUGGGAAACGAUGUGGGAAGGCCCAGACAGCCAGGAUGUUGGCUUAGAAGCAGCCAUCAUUUAAAGAAAGCGUAAUAGCUCACUGGUCGAGUCGGCCUGCGCGGAAGAUGUAACGGGGCUAAACCAUGCACCGAAGCUGCGGCAGCGACGCUUAUGCGUUGUUGGGUAGGGGAGCGUUCUGUAAGCCUGUGAAGGUGUGCUGUGAGGCAUGCUGGAGGUAUCAGAAGUGCGAAUGCUGACAUAAGUAACGAUAAAGCGGGUGAAAAGCCCGCUCGCCGGAAGACCAAGGGUUCCUGUCCAACGUUAAUCGGGGCAGGGUGAGUCGACCCCUAAGGCGAGGCCGAAAGGCGUAGUCGAUGGGAAACAGGUUAAUAUUCCUGUACUUGGUGUUACUGCGAAGGGGGGACGGAGAAGGCUAUGUUGGCCGGGCGACGGUUGUCCCGGCUUAAGCGUGUAGGCUGGUUUUCCAGGCAAAUCCGGAAAAUCAAGGCUGAGGCGUGAUGACGAGGCACUACGGUGCUGAAAGCAACAAAAUGCCCUGCUUCCAGGAAAAGCCUCUAAGCAUCAGGUAACAUCAAAUCGUACCCCAAACCGACACAGGUGGUCAGGUAGAGAAUACCAAGGCGCUUGAGAGAACUCGGGUGAAGGAACUAGGCAAAAUGGUGCCGUAACUUCGGGAGAAGGCACGCUGAUAUGUAGGUGAAGCGACUUGCUCGUGGAGCUGAAAUCAGUCGAAGAUACCAGCUGGCUGCAACUGUUUAUUAAAAACACAGCACUGUGCAAACACGAAAGUGGACGUAUACGGUGUGACGCCUGCCCGGUGCCGGAAGGUUAAUUGAUGGGGUCAGCGCAAGCGAAGCUCUUGAUCGAAGCCCCGGUAAACGGCGGCCGUAACUAUAACGGUCCUAAGGUAGCGAAAUUCCUUGUCGGGUAAGUUCCGACCUGCACGAAUGGCGUAAUGAUGGCCAGGCUGUCUCCCACCCGAGACUCAGUGAAAUUGAACCUCGCUGUGAAGAUGCAGUGUACCCGCGGCAAGACGGAAAGACCCCGUGAACCUUUACUAUAGCUUGACACUGAACAUUGAGCCUUGAUGUGUAGGAUAGGUGGGAGGCUUUGAAGUGUGGACGCCAGUCUGCAUGGAGCCGACCUUGAAAUACCACCCUUUAAUGUUUGAUGUUCUAACGUUGACCCGUAAUCCGGGUUGCGGACAGUGUCUGGUGGGUAGUUUGACUGGGGCGGUCUCCUCCUAAAGAGUAACGGAGGAGCACGAAGGUUGGCUAAUCCUGGUCGGACAUCAGGAGGUUAGUGCAAUGGCAUAAGCCAGCUUGACUGCGAGCGUGACGGCGCGAGCAGGUGCGAAAGCAGGUCAUAGUGAUCCGGUGGUUCUGAAUGGAAGGGCCAUCGCUCAACGGAUAAAAGGUACUCCGGGGAUAACAGGCUGAUACCGCCCAAGAGUUCAUAUCGACGGCGGUGUUUGGCACCUCGAUGUCGGCUCAUCACAUCCUGGGGCUGAAGUAGGUCCCAAGGGUAUGGCUGUUCGCCAUUUAAAGUGGUACGCGAGCUGGGUUUAGAACGUCGUGAGACAGUUCGGUCCCUAUCUGCCGUGGGCGCUGGAGAACUGAGGGGGGCUGCUCCUAGUACGAGAGGACCGGAGUGGACGCAUCACUGGUGUUCGGGUUGUCAUGCCAAUGGCACUGCCCGGUAGCUAAAUGCGGAAGAGAUAAGUGCUGAAAGCAUCUAAGCACGAAACUUGCCCCGAGAUGAGUUCUCCCUGACUCCUUGAGAGUCCUGAAGGAACGUUGAAGACGACGACGUUGAUAGGCCGGGUGUGUAAGCGCAGCGAUGCGUUGAGCUAACCGGUACUAAUGAACCGUGAGGCUUAACCUU
rnacentral:rRNA from 1 species